CAGUCGAACGGUGAACACGGAGCUUGCUCUGUGGGAUCAGUGGCGAACGGGUGAGUAACACGUGAGCAACCUGCCCCUGACUCUGGGAUAAGCGCUGGAAACGGCGUCUAAUACUGGAUAUGUGACGUGACCGCAUGGUCUGCGUUUGGAAAGAUUUUUCGGUUGGGGAUGGGCUCGCGGCCUAUCAGCUUGUUGGUGAGGUAAUGGCUCACCAAGGCGUCGACGGGUAGCCGGCCUGAGAGGGUGACCGGCCACACUGGGACUGAGACACGGCCCAGACUCCUACGGGAGGCAGCAGUGGGGAAUAUUGCACAAUGGGCGAAAGCCUGAUGCAGCAACGCCGCGUGAGGGAUGACGGCCUUCGGGUUGUAAACCUCUUUUAGCAGGGAAGAAGCGAAAGUGACGGUACCUGCAGAAAAAGCGCCGGCUAACUACGUGCCAGCAGCCGCGGUAAUACGUAGGGCGCAAGCGUUAUCCGGAAUUAUUGGGCGUAAAGAGCUCGUAGGCGGUUUGUCGCGUCUGCUGUGAAAUCCCGAGGCUCAACCUCGGGCCUGCAGUGGGUACGGGCAGACUAGAGUGCGGUAGGGGAGAUUGGAAUUCCUGGUGUAGCGGUGGAAUGCGCAGAUAUCAGGAGGAACACCGAUGGCGAAGGCAGAUCUCUGGGCCGUAACUGACGCUGAGGAGCGAAAGGGUGGGGAGCAAACAGGCUUAGAUACCCUGGUAGUCCACCCCGUAAACGUUGGGAACUAGUUGUGGGGUCCAUUCCACGGAUUCCGUGACGCAGCUAACGCAUUAAGUUCCCCGCC
rnacentral:rRNA from 1 species